CAGGCCUAACACAUGCAAGUCGAGCGGGCACUUCGGUGUCAGCGGCGGACGGGUGAGUAACGCGUGGGAACGUGCCUUCUGGUUCGGAAUAACUCAGGGAAACUUGAGCUAAUACCGGAUACGCCCUUUUUGGGGAAAGGUUUACUGCCGGAAGAUCGGCCCGCGUCUGAUUAGCUAGUUGGUGGGGUAACGGCCUACCAAGGCGACGAUCAGUAGCUGGUCUGAGAGGAUGAUCAGCCACACUGGGACUGAGACACGGCCCAGACUCCUACGGGAGGCAGCAGUGGGGAAUAUUGGACAAUGGGCGCAAGCCUGAUCCAGCCAUGCCGCGUGAGUGAUGAAGGCCUUAGGGUUGUAAAGCUCUUUUAUCCGGGACGAUAAUGACGGUACCGGAGGAAUAAGCCCCGGCUAACUUCGUGCCAGCAGCCGCGGUAAU
rnacentral:rRNA from 1 species